GUGUGACUGCGUACCUUUUGUAUAAUGGGUCAGCGACUUAUAUUCUGUAGCAAGGUUAACCGAAUAGGGGAGCCGAAGGGAAACCGAGUCUUAACUGGGCGUUAAGUUGCAGGGUAUAGACCCGAAACCCGGUGAUCUAGCCAUGGGCAGGUUGAAGGUUGGGUAACACUAACUGGAGGACCGAACCGACUAAUGUUGAAAAAUUAGCGGAUGACUUGUGGCUGGGGGUGAAAGGCCAAUCAAACCGGCUGCGAAUACCGGAGAAUGUUAUCACGGGAGACACACGGCGGGUGCUAACGUCCGUCGUGAAGAGGGAAACAACCCAGACCGCCAGCUAAGGUCCCAAAGUCAUGGUUAAGUGGGAAACGAUGUGGGAAGGCCCAGACAGCCAGGAUGUUGGCUUAGAAGCAGCCAUCAUUUAAAGAAAGCGUAAUAGCUCACUGGUCGAGUCGGCCUGCGCGGAAGAUGUAACGGGGCUAAACCAUGCACCGAAGCUGCGGCAGCGACGCUUAUGCGUUGUUGGGUAGGGGAGCGUUCUGUAAGCCUGCGAAGGUGUAGAAGGCUAUGUUGGCCGGGCGACGGUUGUCCCGGUUUAAGCGUGUAGGCUGGUUUUCCAGGCAAAUCCGGAAAAUCAAGGCUGAGGCGUGAUGACGAGGCACUACGGUGCUGAAGCAACAAAUGCCCUGCUUCCAGGAAAAGCCUCUAAGCAUCAGGUAACAUCAAAUCGUACCCCAAACCGACACAGGUGGUCAGGUAGAGAAUACCAAGGCGCUUGAGAGAACUCGGGUGAAGGAACUAGGCAAAAUGGUGCCGUAACUUCGGGAGAAGGCACGCUGAUAUGUAGGUGAAGCGACUUGCUCGUGGAGCUGAAAUCAGUCGAAGAUACCAGCUGGCUGCAACUGUUUAUUAAAAACACAGCACUGUGCAAACACGAAAGUGGACGUAUACGGUGUGACGCCUGCCCGGUGCCGGAAGGUUAAUUGAUGGGGUUAGCGCAAGCGAAGCUCUUGAUCGAAGCCCCGGUAAACGGCGGCCGUAACUAUAACGGUCCUAAGGUAGCGAAAUUCCUUGUCGGGUAAGUUCCGACCUGCACGAAUGGCGUAAUGAUGGCCAGGCUGUCUCCACCCGAGACUCAGUGAAAUUGAACUCGCUGUGAAGAUGCAGUGUACCCGCGGCAAGACGGAAAGACCCCGUGAACCUUUACUAUAGCUUGACACUGAACAUUGAGCCUUGAUGUGUAGGAUAGGUGGGAGGCUUUGAAGUGUGGACGCCAGUCUGCAUGGAGCCGACCUUGAAAUACCACCCUUUAAUGUUUGAUGUUCUAACGUUGACCCGUGAUCCGGGUUGCGGACAGUGUCUGGUGGGUAGUUUGACUGGGGCGGUCUCCUCCUAAAGAGUAACGGAGGAGCACGAAGGUUGGCUAAUCCUGGUCGGACAUCAGGAGGUUAGUGCAAUGGCAUAAGCCAGCUUGACUGCGAGCGUGACGGCGCGAGCAGGUGCGAAAGCAGGUCAUAGUGAUCCGGUGGUUCUGAAUGGAAGGGCCAUCGCUCAACGGAUAAAAGGUACUCCGGGGAUAACAGGCUGAUACCGCCCAAGAGUUCAUAUCGACGGCGGUGUUUGGCACCUCGAUGUCGGCUCAUCACAUCCUGGGGCUGAAGUAGGUCCCAAGGGUAUGGCUGUUCGCCAUUUAAAGUGGUACGCGAGCUGGGUUUAGAACGUCGUGAGACAGUUCGGUCCCUAUCUGCCGUGGGCGCUGGAGA
rnacentral:rRNA from 1 species